rnacentral:rRNA from 1 species
CGUUCCCCUUCGGGGGACAGGGUGACAGGUGGUGCAUGGUUGUCGUCAGCUCGUGUCGUGAGAUGUUGGGUUAAGUCCCGCAACGAGCGCAACCCUCGACCUUAGUUGCCAGCGAGUCAAGUCGGGCACUCUAAGGUGACUGCCGGCUAAAAGUCGGAGGAAGGUGGGGAUGACGUCAAAUCAUCAUGCCCCUUAUGACCUGGGCUACACACGUGCUACAAUGGGCGGUACAAAGGGUCGCAAACCCGCGAGGGGGAGCCAAUCCCAAAAAGCCGCUCUCAGUUCGGAUUGCAGGCUGCAACUCGCCUGCAUGAAGCCGGAAUCGCUAGUAAUCGCGGAUCAGCAUGCCGCGGUGAAUACGUUCCCGGGCCUU